AGUUACAGCCCGAGGGCCGUCCGGAGCCCCAGCCCCGACCCCGGACAGGGCGGCGAGCGAGCGGCAGCGGGUGUGGCCGGCAGGAAGGGCGGCCCGCGGUCGUGCGCCAGUGAGAGAGACAGAGAAAGGUCUUCCUUCCAUUGGUUCACUCCCCAAAUGGCCGCUACAACCAGCGCUGCGCUGAUGACAUGAUUUACUCUCAUAGAGGAAGAGGAAGAGAAGACAUAGAAAAAGCUUCAACGAGCUUUUACGAAUGAGAGCCUAAAAAGUGUUCGGAAGAUGAGACUCAGGGCUUUUUCCAGCUGAGGUGGCCACUCUGGCUGAGGCGUCUGCUCAGUCCUUUCGGUGGCACACGCAAAAAAGCCGAGGACUUGCCCCUGUACAAGGAGCCUUCCGUAAAGGAAGAGCUUUUCGACAAGGACGCAGGGUACAUGACAGGGCCACUUCACCGUACCGAGCUUGGAGAGGCAGGGAGAGCGGCAGGAGGGGAAGCCUUGCUCUGCUCUCUUCUCACAGGGAGCUCAGCGAGGGCCCCGCUGAGAAGACACCCCCUCCAGAGUCCUCGGCAGAAGGUGAAGAGAGCGAAGCCCCCGAGGAAAACACGGACUGACCGUCCCGCCUCUGUCACCUGCAAGUCCUAUUUUCUGAUAUUGGCACCUCAGUGGUGCUUAUAAAAUACUUAUUUUCUUACAUUCAUGGGUGUGAUAUUCAUAAGCAAUUCGAGCCAGGUGGCGAGAAAUUAAAAUGUUGUCAAAUAUUUACUAUAUGCAGUAACAGAGGCCACAGGCAAGAAAAGCAGGACCACUUCUAGAAGCCUUGGAGGGAGUCAAGCCCUCCACAGGGGCACAGCACCAGCAAGAACUCUCACCUCUCUUCCUCCAUGAAGUAGAGGAGUAUUGAGAACUCAUCUAUUUAUUUUUUUUUUCAAUUUUUAAAGGAAUUUAUUAAUGUGAUACACACACACAUACAUAUAAUGGAAUACUAUUCAGUUGUAAAAAAAGGAAUGAAAUUGUGCCAUUUGCAUCAAAAUGGAUACAACUGGAAUACAGCAUAUUGAGUGAAAUAAGCCAGACACAGAAAGACAAAUAUUGCAUGUUUUCCCUUGUGUGUGGGAGCUAAAAAUAAAAAAGAAAAAAUAAAAAAAGACAUAAUUUUAUCCCAUAUACCAUGGUGUUGAUUGUUUUUCUGUUUUAGGAACUCAAUUACAACUCAGCAACAACUAUAAUUAUUGUAAUAACAACACCAAUAAUAGGAGUACUUAUGUUUACAAUGUAUAAAGCAGGCAUUCUUAUUAAAUGUUUAUUUACAUAUGACAAAUAUAUUCAUAUUUAUUUAUACAGAUAUACACAUGAGAUUACUUCAAAAAGCUCACAGACAAUGGAAUUAAAAAGUAAAUCUAAUUGUGAUACUAUCGAAAGCAGACAGUCUGAUUAGAAGACUCCAAGUAAUGCAUUGAGAGGACGGGACCUCUCAACCCCAAUGUAUAAUGCAUCGCACAGAAACUCUUGUGUGAAUAAGUUUCUAAUCUGUUCUGGCAUCAGGAUUGUUUACUUGUUUCUGAUAAAAUGCAUAUUGGGCUAUACUUUCAAAGACUUGUAAAUAUCAUUGAUUGAGUAAAAAGUAAGUCUAGGGGCUGGUGCUAUGGCAUAGUAGGUUAAUUCUUUGCCUGCAUGCUGGCAUCCCAUAUGGGCACAGGUUCGUGUCCUGGCUUUUCUUCUUCCCAUCCAGCUCUCUACUAGUGGCCUGGAAAGGAAGUAGAAGAUGCCCCAAAUGAAUAGACCCCUGUACCCACAUGGGAAACCCAGAAGAAGCUCCUGGCUCCUGGCAUCAGAUUGGUGUAGCUCUUGCCAUUGCAGCCAGUUGGAGAGUAAACCAGUAGAUGGAAGACCUCUCUCUCCUUCUGUUUCUCACUUCCUCUGACUAUAAUACUGUCUCUCAAAUAAAUCUUUUAUUUUUUAAA